rnacentral:rRNA from 1 species
CAGUCGCCGCGGUAAUACGAAGGGUGCAAGCGUUACUCGGAAUUACUGGGCGUAAAGCGUGCGUAGGUGGUGGUUUAAGUCCGUUGUGAAAGCCCUGGGCUCAACCUGGGAAUUGCAGUGGAUACUGGGUCACUAGAGUGUGGUAGAGGAUAGUGGAAUUUCCGGUGUAGCAGUGAAAUGCGUAGAGAUCGGAAGGAACAUCUGUGGCGAAGGCGACUAUCUGGGCCAACACUGACACUGAGGCACGAAAGCGUGGGGAGCAAACAGGAUUAGAUACCCCAGUAGUCCCUGUCUCUUAUCC